CCAAGCCGAGGUAACACGCCUCUUACUCUUUAUCUGAGAUACCGGCGGAUUUUGCCAGCCGCCUCGAAUUCUUACCUUUUGUCCUGCGUUACACGCCGGGGAAAGGAAUUCUGGGAUCGUGUGUUAUGCUGAUCCAAAAUGUUUUUAAGAAAUAAAGAAGUUGUAAAACAAUGGAUACAAGUAUAUAUUUAUAAUACAAGAAAUGACGAUUCUGAAAAAGAAGCUGAUGACCAGAAUAAGGGAUAGGAAGAUGACCUGUUUGCUUGAAGAGCGAGACCAGAGAGCAAGGAGCGGAGUGACUUGAUCCUUGAGGGUGCCUUUGGCUCAAGGGGGACGCUGACUCUUCCGGAGAAUCUUGGAGCCGACAACAAAGGAACUCAGCACCCAGCUAACUUCCAGGAAGAAGCUUCCUUUCCUCCCCCUGCUUUUCCCCUUUCCCCUCCUUUCUGUCUCUGCAGCCAUCAGAAAUAAACUCUGGCUCAUUUCAUCUGAAAUAUGCUUUAUUCCAGGGAUAGUAAUAGCUCAGAGAAUCUCUGAAAAAGAUCUCUAGAAAAAUCUCUAGAAAAGAUAAGGAAACAGAUUAUCCCCUAGAGCCUCCAGAAGGUGUACCCAACAUGGUUCUCACUGGAAUUACAGCAAAUUGGAAGACAGUGGUGGUGACACAGGGUGAAGAGCUACUUUUCAAAGGGUGAAACACAAGAAUGGCUUUUAGGAAUUUUCCCCCAGAGUAAUUUGUGACUGGAUCCUGUUGCCGAAACUUGGCCUCUGUUCACCGGUGCCGAAGAGAAAUGCGGAGACAGAGUUUUGGGUGAAGUAGAAAAGAGUAGCUUUUAUUGCUUUGCCAGGCAGAGGGGGCCACAGCGGGCUAAUGCCCUCAAGACUGUGUGACCCACCCUGGAGGGCGUAGUGAGGAGCCUUACAGUGUUCGAGGAGCAGGGCGUGAUCAGCUCGCAGACAGUUCUCGGAUUGGCUGGCAUCAAAGUGAAGUUUCAAGCGUCAUCAACCUUCUGGUUUCAACCAGUCCAGGGUCUAUGUGCUUGUGGGCAGCACUUUCCAUCUGGAGGGGGCCUGCUCCCUGUAAAACCACUUAGGAGUGUGUGUCAGGCCUUUAUCUGUAGCUUCAGUGAGCUGGGAGUUCGGUGAUUCUGCCGUGCGGCGGAUUUAUAGUCUACAUUGCUGCCCGUUCCCCAGCCCAACAGCUGUUCUUUGUUUCUACGCCUUCACAUUCCCGAAUCAUUAACUCUUGAAUCAGCACUUUACUUCAAAAGACAAGGGCACGGGGCCUCGUACACGGUUUCAAUCCUGACCAGGUCUGAGAUUUAUUUACACGAUGCAUAUGCUGUUGUUUUCAUAAAUGUUAACGUCCAUAAAAUGAAGUUCUUAAAAGCA